UACGGAGGGUGCAAGCGUUAUCCGGAUUCACUGGGUUUAAAGGGUGCGUAGGUGGAUUGGUAAGUCCGUGGUGAAAUCCCUGAGCUUAACUCAGGAACUGCCGUGGAUACUAUCAAUCUUGAAUACUGUGGAGGUAAGCGGAAUAUGUCAUGUAGCGGUGAAAUGCUUAGAUAUGACAUAGAACACCAAUUGUGAAGGCAGCUCACUACGGGAUUAUUGACACUGAGGCACGAAAGCGUGGGGAGCAAACAGG
rnacentral:rRNA from 1 species